GACGAACGCUGGCGGCGUGCCUAACACAUGCAAGUCGAACGAACAGGCGCGGAGCUUGCUCCUCUGACGUUAGCGGCGAACGGGUGAGUAACACGUGGGUAACCUACCUAUAAGACUGGGAUAACUUCGGGAAACGGGAGCUAAUACCGGAUAAUAUCUUGAACUGCCAGGUUGGUUAGUGAAAGACGGUGUUGCUGUCACUUAUAGAUGCAUCCGCGCCCCACUAGCUAGUUGGGUAGGUACCGGCUUACCAAGGCGCCAAUGCUUAGCCGACCUGAGUGGUGGAUGGGCGACACGAGACCUUAGGCACGGGCCAGAGCCCGAAGAGCGGCAGCAGUCGGGAAUGGGCCGCAAUGGGCAAAAGCCGAACGGAGGAACGAGGGGCGAGUGGUGAAGGUCUUCGGAUCGUGAAACUCUGUUAUUAGGGACGAACAAAUGUGUAAGUAACGAUGCAAGUCGUGACGGUAGCUGGUCAGAAAGCCACGGCUAACUACGUG
rnacentral:rRNA from 1 species